AUCAGCAAAGUGGCUAUUAAACCAAAAGGAAAAGCAGAAACGCAUACGUGGGGAAGUCGAGAGAGGUCUCACAAAGGAAGAAAACCAACUGAAGAAAGCCCCCCGGGCAACCAGGGAGGCGGCCAGCAGCUCUCACGCUCUGGAGGCCGGUCCCCCCCGCCCCCACCCACCGUCAGCUUUGUCAGAGCCCCUUCCAGCUUCCUCAGAGGCCCUGUGAGAAGACGAAGGGGUGACGGCAGGAGGGCAGCCCGGCAGCCAGCUGCCUGGGAGAGUGUCUGGGCGUCCAGAGCCAGGGCGCUGAGCAGGAAGUGCCGUGGCCCCUCCAGGCCACCCUCUAGGAAGGGGACACAGCCCGCUGUUCCCCAGAACUGCUCUGAGCACCGCUGACUUUCCAUUUUGUGCCACAGCUUGCUCCAGAGAGUCAUCUUUUAACACAGACACAGAGAUGACACAGAAAAGAUGGCCACAUGAAGACAGAGUUGGGAGGGAUGCAGCGACAAGCCAAGAACUGCAAGGAGUGCCAGCAACCACCAGAAUCUGGAAGCAGCAGGGAAGGAUUCUCCCCUAGAGACUUCGGAGAGAGUGUGGCCCUGUCAACACCUUGAUUUUGGAUUUCCGGCCUCCAGAACUGGGAAAGAGUAAGAGUGUAUCAAGUGCCAUCAAGGUGGCAGCUGGGCAUUAAGGCCAGAGGGCCCCGAAGAGAGGCUGGACUUGUGCUGUCUUGAUGCAUCCAGUAUGAGGACUUGAGCUGCAGGCAGCCCCCCCACCGUGCACGUGGAGGCCAGGGGCACGGCUGAUCUCCACCCAGCAGAUGUGGAUGUUCAAGCCCCAGGAGGCCAAGCUACCCACCUGAGAUGACAGCGUGUGACAGUGCCUGAGUCAGAACCAAGGCAUCAGACUUCAGAAGCUGAGCCCUUAUCUAGGCCAAGUUCAGCCAGAGAAAGAAUAAAUAAGGGGCUCUGACCACUGUGGGGUGGGGCUGCCCAUCCAUGGUGCCCACUGAGGGCCACACGGGUGCCAGAUAGCCUACUGAGGGUUAGAGCCACCAUGGCCCAGGACCUGACAGCCAUCGCUGGGUGGGACUAAAGCCCGCAGCAGUGUGAUGGUCACACAGGACCAACCCCAGGUACCAGAUGGCAGUUAAGAAAAGUGCGCCACAACCUGGUCCUGCCCUCUUUGCCUGAGGGAGCUCCUGCUACCAGCUCCUGGUGGAGGAACUCACUUUCUGGAGACCAGAUGCACAAUGCAAGACCCAUUCAAUCCAUGCACUACCUGCCCACCCAUCCAAUCAACAUUGUGCUGAAUACCUACUGCGGCCAGGCAUUUCCACAUUCGUUAACUCACUGAAUAAUCACAAGACACUGUUUGGUAGCAGGUAUUAGCCCCAUUUUCCAGAUAUGAAAGCUGAAGUACAGAGAUAAAGGGCUUUGCUUGGGGCCCAUGGCCAGCUUGUGAAGGAACAAGACUUGGCCUGGGGAUGGGUGGGUCUCUUGGGUGUGUCUGCCCUCCUGGGGCACCAAUGCAAUGAAGCCCUCCCAGGUUGGUGUUUCUCCAGGGUGGAGGAUCCCUCCUUACACUGAGGCCACAGGCCCCCAAGGCCUUUCAGGUGACACUUGCUGGAUCUUUUGCCUCUAAGGACCUGACCCAGACCCCUCUUGCCUCCUCAGGGAGUCCUCUUUUCCCUUGGGACUCUGUGAUAACCUCCACACACCUGUGUCCCCUCAGAAUUCUCCCUGGGUCAGGCUCCAGGACACUUGCUGUCCACUCUUCUGUCCCUUGACAGAUGACAGUCCCAUCUGGGACACGGUGACUCAGAGAAGACCCAAAGCAAGAAGAACUGCAAGGCAAGUGACUGACAGGUCUCCUCCCCUCCCUGGGCCUCAUUUCCCAAUUGGUGAGGGGCUGGAUGAGGUCAUUUCAGGGACGCUCUCGCUUCUACAAGAUGCUAAGAAUGCCCUGACCAGUGCUUUCAUACUCUCCUUUCGGCCGGGCAGAGGGAGGACAGCACACUGUCCUCCCGUUCCCAGGGGCACAGCAGCCUCUAGCCUGCCCUCUGGGGGAAGCUGUGCACUGUUCAGUCAGAUCUGGAACCACAGCAGACCCGGGUUUGGGGAGGGGGGAGGGUCUGGUAACACUGUCCUGGGGGCUUUCACGGAGUUACAUGGAAAAUUCCCAUUGAAAUCCAAGGGCCGAUGUUUGAAUUCCUAAAUGAGGGUUCCUGGCCCUUUACAUGCUUCUUCAGCCACUGACCAGCAGAAAUAUCCAGACAGGUGCAGCCCACACCUGGGCCAAGUGUCUCAGGAUAUCUCAACAGGCCUCAUUCGGCCAGGCCGGGGUCAGGGAGGGAGGGCAUAGGUGUAGGAGGCAGAAGGCCCAGGUUGGGGUGGGGGGCUUGCAUAGGCCACUUGGCUUCUCCGUGUUUCGGUGUCCUCAUCUGUAGGAUGGUGAUGGUGGCACCACCCAGCAGGGCUGCAGAGCCACUGUGUACCCAGAAGCACAGCACUGCACCCACAGCACAGUCCCAUCCUGCUCCUGCUACUCCUUCAUCAGGGGCCUCCGGUCCGCUUCAUCACCUCCACUUCCCUGGUCCUCAGUCUCCCCAUCUGUAAAUGGGAUCCGGCUCAGACAUCAGCAGGGCUACCAAGAGGCCUGUCUGAGCGUGGAGCGCCCGGCACAACCGUCCCCUGGAGGGGCUGCCUGCCAAGUACCAGCUGCCAAAGGAGCUCUGGGUCACCCUGCCUGCUUCCUGGGUCAGCCUCCCAUGGUGGGGGACACACCCCGAAGGGAGAAUUCAGAGAUUCUGUGGAUGGCAGACAAGUUGAGCAAAAGGUGUCCUCCCAGCCCAGACCCGGAGGGACCAGCCCAAGCCAGGCCUUCAAAGAGAGGCAGCUGUCCCGGGUUUGAGGUGAUGCCAAGAAGUGUAACCCAAGGCAGGCAGCUCCUGACAACUUCAGCUCACACGUGCCCUGGCUCCCUGCAGGCAGCACCCUCCUGGGGCAGGUGCCGGUUCUUCCUGCAUCUUCCACAGGAGGCUGGAGCCCAGGAAAAGCUCAGAGGGACUGAAUUAUCCAUACCCUCAGAACCGAUCAGAAGCUGCUCUGAGGUGGCAGUCACAUUCGGGCGACAGGUGGCUGCAGGGGCACCCCUUUCCUCGUGGGCUCCCUGAGUCACAGCUAGAAAUAGGUUCCACUAAGGCACGGUCCAGCUUUCUUCUCUUCCAGGCCCUGCUAGUGCAAGGUCAACCACGGAGAGGCUGUGGGGAGUUCUGAAGACCCCAGUCCCACCUCUCCUCCCCAGGCCCCUGCAGAGGACAGGCCUCGGUUAAAGACCACACCUGGAAGCCUCCCACUGGUGUGGCUGCACAGCAAGAGGGAACUGGGGGCUUAUCCGCAUCCUGCCGGGCGCGCCACUCCGUGACACUUCGUGCUAGCUGACGGCCGUGACAGAACGAAUGGAUGGGUGACACCAUCAGUGAAUGAAUGAGGUUUAAGAAGUUUGCUAUCAGGAACCCCGAUCACUGCCUGGAUAGUCACGGAGCCAGCACAAAGCAGAAGAAAACAUGGCUCCCGCUCUCAAAAAGUGAGUUCUCUGUCACCAGACGUCUGGCAGAGUGAAGGCAGGGCUGCAGGACUCACGUUCUCUAAAGCAGUGGCUCCCAGAGUGCUCUGUGGGACGCCAAGAGACACCACAGAGGAAAAAGUCCCAGGGACCAACAAGAAUGUGAAAUGCUACAUGGUGUUUCCCACUCAUGCCCACAGAGUCCUGCUUAACACCGGUACUGCCCAGCUGUCUGGCCACAGAACUCCUCUGAAGGGAGCACGGAGUUCUGAAGAACAUGGGUUGGGAAGUGCUGGUGUCAUGGAUUUAGAAUAGGCUGUGCCAGGAAAGUCACACUGCAAUGGCCUCCCUGGGUCACGCGGGGUACCGGAGAUGGCAGAGCCUCCCUGGGCAGGACACACUCAGCAGGGCCCUGCCACCCUUCCUGGGGCUGACUCUAGUGCUCUGCUUCCUUGUGCCUCAGUUUCUCCUCUGAAGAUGUAACGACCCCAGCUUCUCCCAGCCUGUCAGGGUUGUCAGGGGUGAGGACACAGGAUGACAGUGAACAGAUGCCAGGGGCCAUGGGGAGAUGUACAGACAAGAGGCCUUCGCUGUGACUCAGGUUUGGUGGGCAUUCACGGGGCUAACAGCCCGAGACUGCUAACGAGGGUGCAGAUGACAGCCUUCCGGAACCACAUGCCCCGGCUCCAUGUAACCGUUCUUGGAAAGAGACGGCUCGGCUUCCUAUAAAUUGCCGAGCACAGCCGCGUUCUGGGGGGCACAGGUGACCCAACAGAGACGCACAAUACCAGGCAUGCUCGGAAGCCCAGGGAGAGCUGCUGGCCCAGGGUGGGAGGCAGAUCUCUCAGCCUCUCCUCCAAGUACUUAGAGAGUCCUUGGAAGGAACAGGGAGGACAGGGCAUGGGCGGUAUGCUGGAUUCCGAUCCUGGCUCUGUCCCUGGGGAGCUGUGGCCUUGGGCCAGUCACCUUUCCCACACUCUAUUCUCUAAAAUGGAGAUAAGAGCACCUAUGUCGGGGGCUGGAGGACUGACUGAGGCAGCGUGCAAAGUCCAGCACACUGAUGCCUGGCACACACUCUGGAAGGAGGAGCCCCCCAUGGAACAGACUAAGCCUCGCUUUCUUUGGAGACCUGCUGAUGGGACCCUGCCGGGUCCGGCCACUGUCCAGCACAUCUGUGCUCCCUCCCUCUGGGAGAGCUGCGAGCUACCAAGAGUCCGUUUGACUUGUUCCCAAACCUAUUUAUGCCAGCUACACUUGCUCUUGCGACUACCUAAUUUGAUUAUUCUUCACAUAAACUUUUUAAGUAUGAGUGUGAAAAGGAAAAGAAAAAGACUUGCAUUCAUGAAGUCCUUUCUGGAACUUGCUGAGCUGCCCUGGGCUGCUGACCACCCCCACCCCCUGCCCCAACCCCUGCCACUGCCCCCUGGCCGGCGCCCAUUCAUAGGCUCCUGCCUCUGAUGAGCCAAGACUGCCUUCCUUGGAGGCCGAAGCUGGUGAGAUGCUCCCACACUGAGAUGGGUCCCUGGCUCUGUCCAGGUACUCUCAGAGCAGGCAGAGCACCGCUGGGGGCAGGUGGUACCUGAACAGCUCCGGGUGGGGCGUGGGCCCUCCACUCAUAUGGGUGGCAGGCAGCAGCAAGGGGUCACCCAGGGGGACAGCGCCGCCGAGAUCAGGAUCUUCAAACAACUUCAGGGCUGUGGGGAAGGCAGGAGCAGAGUGGUCAGAGGAAGUCCUGGCCCAUCCUCAGCUGCCAGAGGGGGACAGGGUGGAGAUGGCUUGGCCCAGCCAGAAGACAGUGAGCAAGGGACAAGGCAGAGCACAGAAGAACCAGAGGAAUGGGCCCAGGUGGGGGCAGGAAGGGAGCAAGGGACAGGUGCUCAGAGGCUGCCCUACAAUUGUCAGGGGAUGUCCGGUCUCCUGUGGGAGUCCUGAGGCCAGGACUGUGUCUUUCUCAUCCAUGUGUUCUCAGGCUCAGCAGAGCCUGGCCCCAGUGGGUGGUCACCAAGUGCUGGCUGCAUCAAUGGGGAGCAUCUACUCUCCACCCUGAAUGAGAAGCUGGGUGUGAUGAGGAAAGAUCAGACCUAUGGACAAAUACAGAAGUUCCCAGGCCACUCGGCUUUCCCCUUUCCAGUUCUGCACAGGACCCUCCCGUGGGGUGUAUGCAGGCAACACAAAAUCUCUCAUCAUAAUCCAAAUUGUACAGAGUCACAGCACAGCUAGGGUGGCUGUGUCUACUUUCCAGCCAGUGGCCACACCUGGGCCCAGAAUGACAAAGAUGCUUUUGCACCAAUCACAACCCAUACUUCUCAAGUGAUAAAGAUGACCACCCUCCUCUUCCACAGGAUGAGGACAAUAAACAUACAGCCCUGGAAUGUUCUGGGCUAUGGGGACACAAAGUGCAAGGCUAGAUUUCUCCAGCAGAAAAUCUCCAUAAGCUGAGUCUGUACCAUGUUGAAACAGGACAACGAGGAGAUUUCCAUCAUGCUCCCGUGUGGUAGGUCCAAAGCCAUUGACAGAGGCUGGCUGGGUCACCAAGAGGAAUGGGAACACCCAGAGGCUCUACUUACGGUCCUUGAGGGGCAUGUCCUCUGCGGGGCCCUUGGGGGAGGAGAGCUUCGGAGCUGGGCCAAAGAGCCCCUCCUCAGGGUCCACCUCCUCAUCAAAGAUGGUGAGUCGGGGUGAGGGUUUGGGCUUCAUGGCUACUUCUGGGCGUUUCUUGGGCUUCUUGGAGCUAGGGAAUCAGACACAGCUCUAGGUUAGGACUUCUCAUGAGAGCCCCAAUGGUCAGCAGGUGGCCUGGUCAGAGACUGGGUGAGUUUGAGCUCGUGUCAAGAAGGAACUUUCCAGUGCCCUGACAGUGGAGACAUGAGACCCUGCUACUGGAAGUGGCUGAGCCCUGUGCCCCAGGAACCACUGAUGUCAGGAUGUGUGGGAGGAGCAGGUGAGUGAGUGAGCCAGCAGACUGCCAGACAACUCCCAGCCCUGAAGGGCUACCCAGGACUCAGGCCUGUAUGCAUGGUCACAGGUCAGAGAGGCUGCUCUCCUUCUGGAGGCUGUGGGGGUCAAUGCCCAUAAUGCUCCCAGGGGCCAGGCUCGGAGUCACUGCACAACCCCUUGGAAAGGGGGCUGGACACAGACCUCAGGGCCUGGACCCGGGGAACAGCAGAAAGCAGCCUUGGUAAAUGCUCCCUCGUUUCCUCCACACACACACAAUCUGCUGGGUGUUGGAGGGCAGGGUGCUCAGAGGCGACCAUCCACACGCUCUGGAUGUGGACUUCUGGUAGAAUCUCAGGCUCCAGCUGAGAUGGGAGAAGCUAUGAAAGCUGCAAACGCACCUGCUGGAGGCUCCCACACCCAGGACGGAGCACACCUACAUGCUCAGUGCCGAGGCCCCCUCAUGGUCUUGUGCUCUCGGCCCCUCAAGGUGUCCCAGGAGCAGGAAGGAGAUUCAGGAUAGGGUGAGGAUAAGGGGCUCGGUCCUACUGCUCUUUGGGAGAAAGUGGCACAGGUCAAGGACAAGAUGGAGAGCAGAGACUCAGCAGCAGGGCUGUGCCCCACGUGCCCCAGUCCCUGCUCUCUCUCCAUCCAGGGCACAUCCAGACAGGCUCAUGUCACAGGCCACCUGGGACUCGUCUCUGCUCUGGCACCACCCCAGGCUCUGCUUGUGGUGCUGGGCAAGGUGAAAGGGGCCUGGCCUCUUCCCUCCUCACAGCAAAUACUUCCCAGAAAACUUCAGGCAUGCCAUGGCACACACCUUGAAGGGCCAGUUCAGCUUUAAUGACCCCUGGGAAGUGGGUACCAAAGACAGGCCAUGCCCCUCGUGGCAGGCCAGCCAGAGACAGCUCUAGCUGAGACCUGCUGAGUCAGAACCCUGGGGCCAGCCCAGGAAGCUGUGUUGGAGGUUCUGUGGAGCCUAGGGCCUGUGGGCUCUGCCCCACUGCUUCCCUCAAUCACCUGACAGCCACCCCUGAGCUGGCCCUGCUCCUGGAUCCUGUGCCCCAUCCGCACCUGACCAGGAAGGGCAGGGCUGAGGCCUUGCCCCCUGCGGCACUGCCCGCAGGUCCGCCCUGCUCAGAAACUAGCAGGCCCUGAAACAGCUCCUUAGGAAAGCAAGCCCAAAUCCUCCUCCAGCACACAGGCCCCCAACGGCACAGGGGAAAGAAGCCUCCCGUGGACCAGAAACCAGAGGGAACAUGGAAAGAAGGGGACUGUCUGAAGAACAAAGCAAGUGCGAGAGAACAAUCGUGACUGAUUACGUCUGGAGAAGGCCUGCAGAUUUCAACAAUUUCCCUCCUUACACCUACUUCUGGUUCUGAGAGCACAAACUAGGCCUGACUUUCCUGCUAUGUUCGUUUUCCUCUCAGAUUGGAUGAAUGUUCUUGUCUUUUCUUCCUGAAGACAUUUCCGAUCUUUCGCUGCCUUGAACUGAAAUUAACUGAAUCUGUGGCACAUACGACUGUUCAGCUGGGGACCAUCUGUAUUCCACCCCGUUAUUCCACACGGGCCAUCGGUCUGUCUCCCCAACUCUCCCCAACAGUGUCCAGGGGAGACAGUGAAUAAGGAGGAAAUAUGGAGCUUUGACAGCUGAAAGCCCCAGGGGCCUGCCCUCACUGGCUCCCAAACUUUAGUCUCUGGGACCUACAAUGUGCCCGGUCCAGAGCAGACACUCAAUAAUAUUGGCUGAGAGAAUGGAAGGAUGGAUGGAGGGAUGGAAGCAAGGAAGGAAGGAAGGAAGGAAGGAAGGAAGGAAGGAAGGGGAAAGAGGACAAAUGAAUAGAUGGAUGGACACACUGGUGACAGUAUAGCUCUUAUUCAGACUUAUUUCUGCCUACUCCCCCAGGAGGAGUGGAAAGAGUGAAGAGAGGUGGUUCCCAGCACCAGUCUGAGACAGAGAUAUAAGCUUCACUCUUCCAGAGCUGGCAGGCAGGUCAGCUGGUCUCCUCAUCUGCCCUCAGCCACCCUGUAAGCAGCUCAGGCAUUCACUCCGAGUGCCCUCUGUGACCCAGCACUGGCUAGACACCUCCCUUGUGCAAGAUCCUGGGCAGGGCAGUUAGACCUGCCACGGUCCCCAGAAGCUCACAGCUAAAAAUUGGAGAUAUAUAAACCAAUCAUGACCACACAGAGCAACAGUUCCAGAACACGCAGAGCACAGAGGAAGGAGCCCACCCAGCUCAGGGGGUUCCCAGAGGAGGCGAGGCGAGGCGAUGUAGAUGUGGACCCAGGCAGAGGGAAUGAGGCCUCCAGCUGUGGGGGGUCUGCCAGGGGCAUGACUCAGGCAUGACUAUGAACCAGGUCCCCACGGCAGCUUGGCUCGUGAUCCACGAAAACGAUCAGUCUUGGCCUGGGGGAGUGCCGCAGUGUGACGAGGAGACAGGGUCAGGGAGAACAUCAGAAGGCAAAAGCGCUCCUAGAAAAUGUGGACCGUGAGGUGAUCAGUGGGCAGAAGGGGCGUAUCCAGAAUGAUACCAGAUUUCUGACUUCUGGGACAGGGUCAGGAAUGUCAUGUGUGAGGUGAGUCUCCAAGCCGGGUUUCUUCCUUCGCUCACAGAUCGCGUGGGCGCGGACUCAAGCUGUACACACGGGCCAUGGCCCCCGCCCCCCACCAUCCCUGCUCUGCCCCUGCUCCUCCUGCGUCCACCCGGUUGUCUGCGGGAUGUACCUCCCCACUGUGCUGUGCCCACCAGCCCUGCCUCUGCACCCACACGGUAAAGGAUGCCCCGCCUGUCCUUUCACCAGUUUAGUCUCCUGUCACCAGGGAUGGGGCAAUGGGGCAACUGGGCCCUGAGCAGAGAGGUGUGCCAUACACAGACCUGCUCCUGCCUUCCUGGCGGGCACAAAGGAGGUCACCUGAACUUGUGCAGGCUCUGGCGCAGCACGAGUGGCGGGAGGUGGGGGGCAGGCUCCCUGGAUGGGUGCAGGCAUGGGGAAGCACAUUCCUGUAGCAUGCAGGCAUGUGCGUGGACAGACAUCAGCUCUCCUGCACUGCGUGCCUGAUGGAAGACAGAUGUCCAGACCAGGCCGCACUCUGCGGGCGGACGUGGUGCAAACGUGAGACGGAGGUGGCAGACGCUGAGGCUGACGGCCCUGCUCACGUGGCUCAGGCAGUUCUGGUGACAGUGACAGACGCAUGACAGUAGCCUCCCCUCUGGCCACUAAGGGGGCCUGUGUCCAUGUUCCCGGAUGCACCUGCCCCCCCGGCAGACCACCAAUGGGCACCAGCUGCCCAGGAUCUGCAUCACUUGAGUUACAGGAGCAUCUCCUGGACUAAACAGAAGGCCCUUCUGAAGCCUAGACUCACAGACAACAUGACUUACCUUCAAAGCCAGGGUGACACUUAACCAAAUAAGGAAAUUAAUCUCCUCUCCAGUCAUACAAUUUUCCUGCUUUCAAAUAAAGCAUUUUUCAUUUUUUAAUUUUAAA